ACAUCUAAGUACCUGGAGGAAGAGAAAGAAAAAUCGAUUUUCUUAGUAGCGGCGAGCGAAAGGGAAAGAGCCCAAACCGGAAACUUGUUUCCGGGGUUGAGGACAUAACAUAAAGAGAAGUAAUGGCUAAUUGAAGAGAACUGGAAAGUUCCACCGUAGAAGGUAAUAGUCCUGUAAAUGAAAGCUAGUAUAAUCGAGUUAUGAUCCAGAGUACCACGAGACACGUGAAACCUUGUGGGAAGCAGGGAGGACCACCUCCCAAGGCUAAAUACUACCUGAUGACCGAUAGUGGAGCAGUACCGUGAGGGAAAGGUGAAAAGAACCCCGGGAGGGGAGUGAAAUAGAACCUGAAACCGUGUGCCUACAACCGCUCAGAGCCCCUUAUGAGGGUGAUGAGGUGCUUUUUGUAGAACGAGCCAACGAGUUACGGUAUGUAGCAAGGUUAAGUACUUAAGGUACGGAGCCGAAGGGAAACCGAGUCUGAAUAGGGCGACUAGUUGCAUGCCGUAGACCCGAAACCGGGUGACCUAUCCAUGGCCAGGUUGAAGCGAGGGUAAAACCUCGUGGAGGACCGAACCACGUUGCUGUUGAAAAAGCAUGGGAUGAGCUGUGGAUAGCGGAGAAAUUCCAAUCGAACCCGGAGAUAGCUGGUUCUCUCCGAAAUAGCUUUAGGGCUAGCGUCGAGUAUGAGUAGUGGAGGUAGAGCACUGAAUGGGCUAGGGGGCAUAGCGCUUACCGAACCUUAUCAAACUCCGAAUGCCACAUACUUUGAGCUCGGCAGUCAGACUACGAAUGAUAAGAUCCGUGGUCAAAAGGGAAACAGCCCAGAUCGUCAGCUAAGGUCCCAAAGUGUAAGUUAAGUGGGAAAGGAUGUGAGAUUUCUAAGACAACUAGGAUGUUGGCUUAGAAGCAGCCAUUCAUUAAAAGAGUGCGUAAUAGCUCACUAGUCGAGAGAUCUUGCGCCGAAAAUGUAACGGGGCUAAACUUACCACCGAAGCUACGGGCUUGAACUAAGUUCAAGCGGUAGGAGAGCGUCGUAACCGGGCUGAAGUCGUACCGUAAGGAGCGGUGGACUGGUUACGAGUGAGAAUGUUGGCAUCAGUAGCGAGAUGUGGGUGAGAAUCCCACAGGCCGAAAACCUAAGGUUUCCUCAGGAAGGUUCGUCCGCUGAGGGUUAGUCGGGACCUAAGCCGAGGCCGAAAGGCGUAGGUGAUGGACAACUGGUUGAUAUUCCAGUACCACUACCAUCGUUAUUAUCGAUGGCGUGACGCAGGAGGAUAGUGUGUGCUAGCUAUUGGAUGCUAGUCUAAGCGUUUAGGCAGUGAGAGUAGGCAAAUCCGCUCUCAUAAUGCUGAGGCGUGAUGGGGAAGGUUCCACGGAACCGAAGUACAUGAUUCCACGCUGCCAAGAAAAGCGUCUAGAGAGAGAAGUAGUGCCCGUACCGCAAACCGACACAGGUAGGUGAGGAGAGAAUCCUAAGGCCGGCGGAAGAAUUACAGUUAAGGAACUCGGCAAAUUGACCCCGUAAGUUCGCGAGAAGGGGUGCCUACGAGAGUAGGCCGCAGAGAAUAGGCCCAAGCAACUGUUUAGCAAAAACACAGGUCUCUGCUAAAGCGUAAGCUGAUGUAUAGGGGCUGACGCCUGCCCGGUGCUGGAAGGUUAAGGGGAACACUUAGCGCAAGCGAAGGUGUGAACUUAAGCCCCAGUAAACGGCGG
rnacentral:rRNA from 1 species